CAAAAGGUUAUGUACUAAAUGCUUGUAUUAUAGGCAUAGUAGUCCCAUGUGUUCGACAGAAGCAGGGGAAUGGUGAAAGUUAUUAGUUAUUUCACGUGGUUAACAGCUCCAGCAUGAAACAGACCUGUACUUCACUAUGAGUGAAUGCACUGUGGGUUGAAUAAGAAACGAAGUUAACAUUUGUGUGUGGAAGGACAAUAUACGCAAGGUGCUAGGGGAUAGUGGGCACCGCUACACAUCUAGAGGAAAUGGUCCUGUUCUUGGAAAACUGCUAUCUGAGGGGGUCAAGUGGAUGUUUGCACAAGAAGAGGAAAUCAAGCACUCUAUCAUCACAGGCCUAUAACAAUGAAUGGGAAUGACAAAAGAGAGGGAUGAAAUUCUCAAUAUAUAUUACGCAAUUGCAUAAGCAACAGGUACUGCAAAUUUGCUAGGAAACAAUAUUACAAUGCAGAAAGAAUAUAAAGAUUUAGUUGACAAUAAAACAGCAAAGAAUUGCAAUGAUUGACAGAUGGGAUUUAGUGUUCAGUACAUCAAGAAGCACUUUGUCCUAAAUUUGCAGGCAUGCAGCAUGUGAAGAUAUCGGUGAUAUAAAUAGUUAAAUUUCUGAUGUUGCAAGCAUUAUUCCUUUGUCAGUUGCAACUGUUUUCGAUGGAGUUGAACGAAGAAUAUGAAGACUGUAUAUAUUACUGCAAACUACAUUGGUUAAGUCAAGAGUCAAACCCGGAACAAUUUUUCGAUAUAAAACUCACUAUUGUUUAAUUUACGUAGGAAAGAGAAGUCAGGAACAAAAAUUAUAACAUCUGGAAUGGAGCGCAGACCUUGCAUUUUAAGCAAACUUCACUGCACACUGCCCACAGUAAGGCACUGCAAGGGGAGGGACAAUUUUUUCUGAUUUGAUGAGGAGGUAUUUAGAAAGAAAAUCACAUUAAACAAAUGCAGUACACAACCCUAAGCUCACUGCUGUUGAAGAAAAUGUGAGGUUUCAAGAAUCCAUUGAGGCCUCGGAAGAAUUAAAAAAGCAGUUUUCUAAAUGUUUUGAGGAUACUGUCAAUCUUACAUCAAUUUUUGAGACCAUUCGCUGUUUCAGUUGAAAGCGCCCUUGUGAUGUGCACAUGUAAUUGUCUGAUCUGCAAGGUAAUUCCUGUUUUAACGACAAAUUCUUUUAUGUCAAAACUGUCGACGAUGUCUACAUUGCUUUCCUCAGGUAGAGUUUCCAUGUCUUCAUAAUGAGGUAGCAAAAGUGCUUUGAUCUAAUUAUUUGUGUGAAAGUCCUUUUUUCGAUUAUGAAACUAAAUAAGUCAAGGCUACAUGGCAACCUGAGUGCAAAAAUGUGUGAAAUUGUCUGCAUCUGCCAGUACGCCGAAAGUUUGUACCAGACCAAAAAUUAUGUCUUCAGUGCACCAAAUAAUUAAAUAGUACUGAAAAUUUGUUUGUGAUCCAUGCUGCUGAGAAAUCUGAAAUA